rnacentral:rRNA from 1 species
GACGAACGCUGGCGGCGCGCUUAACACAUGCAAGUCGAGCGAAGCGGCGGACGGGUGAGUCACACGUGAGUAACCUGCCUUAGACAUUGGGAUAGCCUCGGCAAACCGGGAUUAAUACCAAAUGGUCUUAGAUGGGCUCGCGUCCCAUUAGUUAGUUGGUGAGGUAACGGCACACCACGGCGACGAUAGGUAUCCGGCCUGAGAGGGUGAACGGCCACAUUUGAAAGGAGAAACGGUCAGAACUCUACGUGAGGGAGCAGUGGGGAAUAUUGCACAAUGGAGGGAACGCUGAUGCAGCGACGCCGCGUGAACGAAGAAGGCUUUCGAGUCGUAAAUUGCUUUUAUAUGGGAAGCGGUACCAUAAGAAAAAGCCCCGGCUAACUACGUGCCAGCAGCCGCGGUAAUAC